UACGAAGGGGGCUAGCGUUGUUCGGAAUUACUGGGCGUAAAGGGCGCGUAGGCGGUGUGUCAAGUCAGGCGUGAAAGCCCCGGGCUCAACCUGGGAACUGCGCUUGAGACUGGCAGGCUCGAGUUCGGGAGAGGAUGGUGGAAUUCCCAGUGUAGAGGUGAAAUUCGUAGAUAUUGGGAAGAACACCGAUGGCGAAGGCAGCCAUCUGGACCGACACUGACGCUGAGGCGCGAAAGCGUGGGGAGCAAACAGG
rnacentral:rRNA from 1 species